rnacentral:rRNA from 1 species
GAUGAACGCUGGCGGCAUGCCUAAUACAUGCAAGUCGAACGAGAGGAAGGAAAGCUUGCUUUUCUGAAUCUAGUGGCGAACGGGUGAGUAACACGUAGGUAACCUGCCCAUGUGCCCGGGAUAACUUCUGGAAACGGAUGCUAAAACCGGAUAGGUAGCAGACAAGCAUUUGACUGCUAUUAAAGUGGCUAAGGCCAUGAACAUGGAUGGACCUGAGGUGCAUUAGCUAGUUGGUGAGGUAACGGCCCACCAAGGCGACGAGGCAUAGCCGGCCUGAGAGGGCGGACGGCCACAUUGGGACUGAGACACGGCCCAAACUCCUACGGGAGGCAGCAGUAGGGAAUUUUCGUCAAUGGGGGGAACCCUGAACGAGCGAUGCCGCGUGAGUGAGGAAGGUCUUCGGAUCGUAAAGCUCUGUUGUAAGAGAAAAACGACAUUCAUAGGGAAUGAUGAGUGAGUGAUGGUAUCUUACCAGAAAGUCACGGCUAACUACGUGCCAGCAGCCGCCGUAAAAC